CCCUAUAGCAUAUGGAGUGCCACAGG
rnacentral:sRNA from 1 species